rnacentral:rRNA from 1 species
UACGUAGGGUGCAAGCGUUAAUCGGAAUUACUGGGCGUAAAGCGUGCGCAGGCGGUUGUGUAAGACAGGCGUGAAAUCCCCGGGCUCAACCUGGGAAUUGCGCUUGUGACUGCACAGCUCGAGUGUGGGAGAGGGGGAUGGAAUUCCGCGUGUAGCAGUGAAAUGCGUAGAUAUGCGGAGGAACACCAAUGGCGAAGGCAACCCCCUGGACCUGCACUGACGCUCAUGCACGAAAGCGUGGGGAGCAAACAGG